UACGUAGGGGGCGAGCGUUGUCCGGAUUUACUGGGCGUAAAGCGCGUGUAGGCGGUACUCUAAGUCCGGGGUGAAAUCCGGGGGCUUAACCCCGAACGGCGCCGGAAACUGGAGCGCUUGAGUGUCGGAGAGGGGAGUGGAAUUCUCGGUGUGGCGGUGAAAUGCGUAGAGAUGAGAGGAACACCCGUGGCGGAAGGCGGCUCCCUGGCCGAACACUGACGCUGAGACGCGAAGCGUGGGGAGCGAACGGG
rnacentral:rRNA from 1 species